CAGAUACUGAAGCAAAGGCUGCUAUUUGGCCAAUUCCACCUAUAUGUUGAAAAGAAGAUAAUCAAGUUUUCAUGUACAAGAUGGUCAGAGGAGUGCAGUUUAAAUUCCAAAGAGACCUAAGACAUUCAAGAAACGCCAAGUGUUUCAAGCAGCUGAAGUAAAAGCUGAUGUAUUGUGCCUAUUUAAUUUUGAACCAACGUUAGGUCGUAUGCAUGGCUUUUCAUUUGUAUGUUGUUAUUGAUGUGGACCUAAUGUUCAAUAUUUUAUCUCAUUAAACUAUUUACUUGAAUUUAUA